rnacentral:tRNA from 1 species
UCUUUAUUGGCAGAAUAUUGCAAUAGAAUUAGAAUCUAUAUAUCCUUAAUUAA